rnacentral:lncRNA from 1 species
ACAUGUUUCUUUUUGAGGUAGUCACGUAUGAUAUGAAAAUGCCACUCGAUGUGUUUAGAUUUUUUAUGAGAGACCUCGAUUCUUUAGCAAGUGCUAUGGCUCUAUUAUUGUCGCAGUACAAUGGUAUGGCAUCCGAUGUUAUAACUCCAAGUUCUACAGUGAACUUUUUGAACUAGAAGCCUUAUUUUGCAGCAUCCGAAGCAACGACAUACUC